rnacentral:rRNA from 1 species
GACGAACGCUGGCGGCGUGCUUAACACAUGCAAGUCGAACGAUGAAGCCUAGCUUGCUAGGUGGAUUAGUGGCGAACGGGUGAGUAAUACGUGAGUAACCUACCUUUAACUCUGGGAUAAGCCCGGGAAACUGGGUCUAAUACCGGAUACGACCAAUCUCCGCCUGGGGUGUUGGUGGAAAGCGUUAUGUAGUGGUUAUAGAUGGGCUCACGGCCUAUCAGCUUGUUGGUGAGGUAACGGCUCACCAAGGCGACGACGGGUAGCCGGCCUGAGAGGGUGACCGGCCACACUGGGACUGAGACACGGCCCAGACUCCUACGGGAGGCAGCAGUGGGGAAUAUUGCACAAUGGGCGCAAGCCUGAUGCAGCGACGCCGCGUGAGGGAUGACGGCCUUCGGGUUGUAAACCUCUGUUAGCAGGGAAGAAGAGAGAUUGACGGUACCUGCAGAGAAAGCGCCGGCUAACUACGUG